rnacentral:rRNA from 1 species
AUUGAACGCUGGCGGCAGGCCUAACACAUGCAAGUCGAACGAGUGGCGGACGGGUGAGUAAUGUCUGGGAAACUGCCCGAUGGAGGGGGAUAACUACUGGAAACGGUAGCUAAUACCGCAUACCAUCGGAUGUGCCCAGCUGGGAUUAGCUUGUUGGUUGGGUAACGGCUCACCAAGGCGACGAUCCCUAGCUGGUCUGAGAGGAUGACCAGCCACACUGGAAUGGAGACACGGUCCAGACUCCUACGGGAGGAAGCAGUGGGGAAUAUUGCACAAUGGGCGCAAGCCUGAUGCAGCAAUGCCGCGUGUAUGAAGAAGGCCUUCGGGUUGUAAAGUACUUUCAGCGGGGAGGCGUUACCCGCAGAAGAAGCACCGGCUAACUCCGUGCCAGCAGCCGCGGUAAUAC